rnacentral:rRNA from 1 species
GAGUUUCUCUUGGCUCAGAUUGAACGCUGGCGGUAGGCUUAACACAUGCAAGUCGUGCGAGAAAGUAUCUUCGGAUAUGAGUAGAGCGGCGGACGGGUGAGUAACGCGUAGGAAUCUACCUAGUAGAAGGGGAUAGCCCGGGGAAACCCGGAUUAAUACCGUAUACCUCCUUCGGGAGAAAGAAGGCCUCUCUUUGAAGCUUUCGCUACUAGAUGAGCCUGCGUAAGAUUAGCUUGUUGGUGAGGUAAAGGCUCACCAAGGCAACGAUCUUUAGCUGGUCUGAGAGGACGAUCAGCCACAUUGGGACUGAGACACGGCCCAGACUCCUACGGGAGGCAGCAGUGGGGAAUAUUGGACAAUGGGCGCAAGCCUGAUCCAGCCAUACCGCGUGUGUGAAGAAGGCCUUCGGGUUGUAAAGCACUUUAAGCAGGGAGAAAAAGUUAUAAGCUAAUACCUUAUAACCUUGAUGUUACCUGCAGAAUAAGCACCGGCUAAUUCCGUGCCAGCAGCCGCGGUAAUACGUAGGGUGCAAGCGUUGUUCGGAAUUACUGGGCGUAAAGCGCACGUAGGCGGAUUAGAAAGUAUGGGGUGAAAUCCCAGGGCUCAACCCUGGAACUGCCUCAUAAACUCCUAAUCUAGAGUUCGAGAGAGGUGAGUGGAAUUCCGGGUGUAGAGGUGAAAUUCGUAGAUAUUCGGAGAACACCAGUGGCGAAGGCGGCUCACUGGCUCGAUACUGACGCUGAGGUGCGAAAGUGUGGGGAGCAAACAGGAUUAGAUACCCUGGUAGUCCACACCGUAAACGAUGAAUGCCAGUCGUCGGAUAGUAUACUAUUCGGUGACACACCUAACGGAUUAAGCAUUCCGCCUGGGGAGUACGGUCGCAAGAUUAAAACUCAAAGGAAUUGACGGGGGCCCGCACAAGUAGUGGAGCAUGUGGUUUAAUUCGAAGAUACGCGCAGAACCUUACCAACACUUGACAUGUUCGUCGCGACUCUAAGAGAUUAGAGUUUUCGGUUCGGCCGGACGAAACACAGGUGCUGCAUGGCUGUCGUCAGCUCGUGUCGUGAGAUGUUGGGUUAAGUCCCGCAACGAGCGCAACCCUCACUUUUAGUUGCCAUCAUUAAGUUGGGCACUCUGAAAGAACUGCCAGUGAUAAGCUGGAGGAAGGUGGGGAUGACGUCAAGUCCUCAUGGCCCUUACGUGUUGGGCUACACACGUGCUACAAUGGCAUCUACAACAGGAAGCAAAACGGCAACGUUAAGCAAAUCCCGAAAAGAUGCCUCAGUUCGGAUUGCACUCUGCAACUCGAGUGCAUGAAGCUGGAAUUACUAGUAAUCGUGGAUCAGCGUGCCACGGUGAAUGCGUUCCCGGGUCUUGUACACACCGCCCGUCACACCAUGGGAGUUGGUUCUACCUUAAGGCAAGGUUUUAAACCCUUGACCACGGUAUAGUCAGCGACUGGGGUGAAGUCGUAACAAGGUAACC